UUUUGUACAGUGAUGAUGACAAAGACGGACUGGCGGUCAUUAUUUAUGAUGGGAAGAGAGGUCUGGUCCCCAAUUUCCUUCUUGAACCGAUGGGCAUCAAAAACAAGGGAAAAAACAAGCGAAUCGAACUCGCCAAUGGCAUCC